rnacentral:ncRNA from 1 species
UGACCAAGGGGUCGGGACGUUCUGCCUGUUUCAGGGGCGGAGUGACCUACGGGUACAGGGAGGUGCUUGCGCAAGGGCCGGGUCAGGAGAAGC